rnacentral:rRNA from 1 species
CCAAUAGCGUAUAUUAAAGUUGUUGCAGUUAAAAAGCUCGUAGUUGAAUUUCGGGAUCAAAGAAUCGGUCAUGCCUUGGUAUGUACUGGUUUUAUUGGUUCUCACCUUCUAAAGAACCAUAAUGUCAUUUAUUUGAUGUUAUGGGGAAUUAGGACUGUUACCUUGAAAAAAUUAGAGUGUUUAAAGCAAGCUUACGCUUG